CAAAAACAUAGCUGGCUGCAUUUAAUUGUUAGUUAUUUCUGCUCACUGGGAUACUAAAUAGCCGCAGUACCCUGACUGUGCAAAGGUAGCAUAAUCAUUUGGCUUAUAAUUGAAGUCUGGCAUGAACGAGUAAACGGGUAAUUGCUGUCUCUAUAAGGCUACUAGAAAUUAUUUAGUAAGUGCAAAUACUUACAGAUAAAUAACAGACGAGAAGACCCUAGAAAUUUUUUGGAACCGUGGCCUUGCCAUUUAUUAUUUUGUUGGGGCGACAGAAUAACAAUUAACUUAUUUUAAUAAUUUGAACUAUAUUAGGAGUAAAAUUAAAUUACUCUAGGGAUAACAGCAUAAUUUAGAAAAGUUUGUGACCUCGAUGUUGGACUAGGGAUCUUAAUAUUCAGAAGACGUUAAGGAAGGCUCUGUUCGAGCUAUGUACCCUACAUGAUCU
rnacentral:rRNA from 1 species